rnacentral:rRNA from 1 species
UUAAUCGACGCAGGGUUAGUCGGUUCCUAAGGCGAGGCUGAAAAGCGUAGUCGAUGGGAAACAGGUUAAUAUUCCUGUACUUCUGGUUACUGCGAUGGAGGGACGGAGAAGGCUGGGCCAGCUUGGCGUUGGUUGUCCAAGUUUAAGGUGGUAGGCUGAAAUCUUAGGUAAAUCCGGGGUUUCAAGGCCGAGAGCUGAUGACGAGUCGUCUUUUAGAUGACGAAGUGGUUGAUGCCAUGCUUCCAAGAAAAGCUCCUAAGCUUCAGGUAACCAGGAACCGUACCCCAAACCGACACAGGUGGUCGGGUAGAGAAUACCAAGGCGCUUGAGAGAACUCGGGUGAAGGAACUAGGCAAAAUGGCACCGUAACUUCGGGAGAAGGUGCGCCGGCUAGGGUGAAGGAUUUACUCCGUAAGCUCUGGCUGGUCGAAGAUACCAGGCCGCUGCGACUGUUUAUUAAAAACACAGCACUCUGCAAACACGAAAGUGGACGUAUAGGGUGUGACGCCUGCCCGGUGCCGGAAGGUUAAUUGAUGGGGUUAGCGCAAGCGAAGCUCUUGAUCGAAGCCCCGGUAAACGGCGGCCGUAACAAUAACGGUCCUAAGGUAGCGAAAUUCCUUGUCGGGUAAGUUCCGACCUGCACGAAUGGCGUAACGAUGGCGGCGCUGUCUCCACCCGAGACUCAGUGAAAUUGAAAUCGCUGUGAAGAUGCAGUGUAUCCGCGGCUAGACGGAAAGACCCCGUGAACCUUUACUGUAGCUUUGCACUGGACUUUGAGCCUGCUUGUGUAGGAUAGGUGGGAGGCUUUGAAGCGUGGACGCCAGUUCGCGUGGAGCCAUCCUUGAAAUACCACCCUGGCAUGCUUGAGGUUCUAACUCUGGUCCGUAAUCCGGAUCGAGGACAGUGUAUGGUGGGCAGUUUGACUGGGGCGGUCUCCUCCUAAAGAGUAACGGAGGAGUACGAAGGUGCGCUCAGACCGGUCGGAAAUCGGUCGCAGAGUAUAAAGGCAAAAGCGCGCUUGACUGCGAGACAGACACGUCGAGCAGGUACGAAAGUAGGUCUUAGUGAUCCGGUGGUUCUGUAUGGAAGGGCCAUCGCUCAACGGAUAAAAGGUACUCCGGGGAUAACAGGCUGAUACCGCCCAAGAGUUCAUAUCGACGGCGGUGUUUGGCACCUCGAUGUCGGCUCAUCACAUCCUGGGGCUGAAGCCGGUCCCAAGGGUAUGGCUGUUCGCCAUUUAAAGUGGUACGCGAGCUGGGUUUAGAACGUCGUGAGACAGUUCGGUCCCUAUCUGCCGUGGACGUUUGAGAUUUGAGAGGGGCUGCUCCUAGUACGAGAGGACCGGAGUGGACGAACCUCUGGUGUUCCGGUUGUCACGCCAGUGGCAUUGCCGGGUAGCUAUGUUCGGAAAAGAUAACCGCUGAAAGCAUCUAAGCGGGAAACUUGCCUCAAGAUGAGAUCUCACUGGGAACUUGAUUCCCCUGAAGGGCCGUCGAAGACUACGACGUUGAUAGGCUGGGUGUGUAAGCGUUGUGAGGCGUUGAGCUAACCAGUACUAAUUGCCCGUGAGGCUUGACC